GACGAACGCUGGCGGCGUGCCUAAUACAUGCGAGUAGAACGCUGAAGAGAGGAGCUUGCUCUUCUUGGAUGAGUUGCGAACGGGUGAGUAACGCGUAGGUAACCUGCCUUGUAGCGGGGGAUAACUAUUGGAAACGAUAGCUAAUACCGCAUAACAAUGGAUGACACAUGUCAUUUAUUUGAAAGGGGCAAUUGCUCCACUACAAGAUGGACCUGCGUUGUAUUAGCUAGUAGGUGAGGUAAUGGCUCACCUAGGCGACGAUACAUAGCCGACCUGAGAGGGUGAUCGGCCACACUGGGACUGAGACACGGCCCAGACUCCUACGGGAGGCAGCAGUAGGGAAUCUUCGGCAAUGGGGGCAACCCUGACCGAGCAACGCCGCGUGAGUGAAGAAGGUUUUCGGAUCGUAAAGCUCUGUUGUAAGUCAAGAACGGGUGUGAGAGUGGAAAGUUCACACUGUGACGGUAGCUUACCAGAAAGGGACGACUAACUACGU
rnacentral:rRNA from 1 species